AUUGAACGCUGGCGGUAUGCUUAACACAUGCAAGUCGAACGGUAGCAGCUCUUCGGAGGCUGACGAGUGGCGGACGGGUGAGUAACGCGUAGGAAUCUGCCUGUUAGUGGGGGACAACUUAGGGAAACUUAAGCUAAUACCGCAUACGCCCUACGGGGGAAAGAGGGGAUCUUCGGACCUUUCGCUAACAGAUGAGCCUGCGUAGGAUUAGCUAGUUGGUAGGGUAAGAGCUUACCAAGGCGACGAUCAGUAUCUGGUUUGAGAGGACGAUCAGACACACUGGAACUGAGACACGGUCCAGACUCCUACGGGAGGCAGCAGUGGGAAUUUUCCGCAAUGGGCGAAAGCCUGACGGAGCAAUACCGCGUGAGGGAAGAAUGCCUAUGGGUUGUAAACCUCUUUUUUCAGGGAGGAAUCAAAUGACGUGUACCUGAAGAAUAAGCAUCGGCUAACUCCGUG
rnacentral:rRNA from 1 species